UACCAGCGCCCCGAGUGGUCGGGACGUUUAUUGGGCCUAAAGCAUCCGUAGCCGGUUCUACAAGUCUUCCGUUAAAUCCACCUGCUUAACAGAUGGGCUGCGGAAGAUACUAUAGAGCUAGGAGGCGGGAGAGGCAAGCGGUACUCGAUGGGUAGGGGUAAAAUCCGUUGAUCCAUUGAAGACCACCAGUGGCGAAGGCGGCUUGCCAGAAUGCGCUCGACGGUGAGGGAUGAAAGCUGGGGGAGCAAACCGG
rnacentral:rRNA from 1 species